rnacentral:rRNA from 1 species
UACACACCGCCCGUCACACCAUGGGAGUCAAAUGCUCCAGAAGUGGCUGAGCCAACCCCGCAAGGGGGGCAGGUCCCCAAGGAGUGUUUGGUAACUGGGGUG